AAACACUUAUGGUUUAGCUUAAUUAUCUCAUGGAAGAUAAGGAAAACAUGCUAUAGGUGCCUAAUUAUAAAUACAUGGCAGAAUAUAGAACAAGCUACUUGCUCACUUUUUCUUUGUUACUAAGAGAUCUCUUUUCUUCUUUGGUUUAAAGUGUGAAGGAAAGUGAAAGUUGAAGUUUUGAGGAGUUCAAAUUAAAAGAAUAAGUUGCAGAAUUGAGGUAAGCUGACUGCUCCAUUUUGUUCUCCUUGUAUGUGAAUUUGAAAGAGAAUUAUGGAUGUGUUGUUAUUGAGAACUCAAGAGAUGAUGAGUUCAAUAAUUGAUUGCUACAAUAAAAGGGAUUUGUGGCUGUUUUGUGGACUGUUUUAUAUGUAUAUGUUAUGGCCUGCUAAGUUGAUGUUGGAGAAAGGUAUGAUUAGUUUGUAAUGAAAUAUAGAAGAAAGGUGUGACGGUACACCACCAAACCAAUUAUUGCAUUUGUUUACUGCCCAAUUUGUUUUGAGUAUUGUUUGGAAUGUGUAAUGAAGCCGAGGUGGUUUCGGUAAAUCUUAUAAGAACCUGUAUGGUAUGUAGGUGUAAUUGGAGGAGAAAAGGGUUAAAAUAACACCUUUGAUUGGUAUAUUAAUGGCUUACUGCCCGGUUUCUAUUUUGAGUGAAGUUAAGUAGCCUAAAUGUGUUAGUUGCUAAUACUAGUUUACCAUAUAUUCUAUUGUAGAUGAGUAAUCUAAAAGGCGGAAAGUCAAGUCGAGUUAGUUUCGGAGUUAUAUAACUAGGUCUGUAAGGCAUACUCCAUUUGCACUCUUUGGCAUAAAUCGAACAUUUGUUCUAUCAAGUAAGCUUCCAAGGUUAUCCUAUAACAAGUGAAACAUAAUAGCAGCACAUUACAUUCCAUGUAGCCAAUGACCUUGUUCCCACUCUCUAUCGUGUUAAAACACCUCAAUACAUGCUUAUUAUUAAACGUGCACGUCUAUCUUCACUAGAAAAUUUCAAGAGUUCUCUGUUUAUUCCAAAUAAGACUCAUGUGUUAUUUUUAGCUCCUAACUACUUUAUUUGAGUGCAAACAAAUCCCUACCUCAUUGUUGUUACAUUAAGUGUCCAUUUACAUGUCUCUUAUUAGUAGAUUACUAUUUCAAGGUACCAUACUGUUAUGACCACUAAAGUAACAAUCUCAAAGGCUAAAUAAACUAAGUAAUGCAAAUAUAUAAAACGAGUGGCAGCUCAAGGGCAUAUGCCUAGCAUGGGCCGAUCUCGAUACCUUUAUAUGUGGGUGGCAGCUUAAGGGCAUAAGCCUAGCACGGGUUGAUACCAAUAUUUAUUUAAGGGUGGCAGCUCAGGGGCGUAAGCCUAGCAUGGCCAAUCCCAAUUUGUUUAUUUACCACUGAUCAGCUAGUCAUUUGCUUUAUUUGUCUUACAAAGAUUAUGAGGUAAGAAAGGUAAAAAUGAAGAAAGAAAUGUAAUGUACGUAUUCCCACAAGAAUAUAUAAAGGUGGUCUACUAGUACUGCUUAUACACUUGUAUUUGAUUUCUAUUGAGCUCUUGUAUCAUGUGUUGUUACCUUCAACCUUACAUACUUAGUACAUAUUAUCGUACUGACGUCCCUCACGGAGGACCUGUAUUUCAUGCUGCAGGAGGCACAGGUACUUUAGCUCAUACAACUCACUAGUAGGAGAACAAGCUAUUCGGUGACUAUUGGUGAGCUCCAAGUUGAUUCGGAGCUUUCCGAGUCUGUUCUUUAUAUUUUGGUAUUGUGCAGUAAGUUAAUAAUGGGGCGGGGGUUUGUCCUGGCCCUAAUUAAGUCUAUGUAUCUUUUAGAGAAUUUGUAGACUAAUGUAAAGUUAUAGUAGUGUCUUGCCUUUAGACGCGGUGGCCCCAAAGGCUAAGUGUUGUAUAUAUAAGUUUGUGCUUGCCUAUAUAAUAUUCUCAUCGAUACAUAAUAUCAUAUUUGUCAAAACCUUUGAUUGUCAUAGUUACAUGCAUGAGAAGUAUAAGGUUAUGAAUUGAUUCUCUCGGGCCUUUACGGCUAGGGGUGCCUGUCCGCCCCAAUAGGAUUUGAGACGUGAUAGUAGUAUGAGUGUGUAUACCUUACAUUUCUUAGCCUUUGAGAUCUAGAAAAGAACUUGAAUAGGCAUCAAAAUGUAAUGUAAAGCAUUGACCUUAUUUAUAUGAAAAAAAAAUAAGUUAAAAUUAGCGAACAACCCCUUUAAAAUCUGAAAUCAUAGGAAAAUUAUUCUCCCUGCAAAUCUGUACUUGAAAUUUCAUUUUUUUGUCUUAAAAAAUAUGUAGAGAUUGACACGUCGAUUUAUUGAAAAUAUGUUUCAAGGCGAAAGUUAAUUUUUCAUAAAAUUAACCAAAUAUGAUAAAAUACAUUUUCUUAAUCUAAUAUUGAUUAUGCUCUAUCUGCGAAAAUCGAACGGUUAAACCUAUACGAAAGAAUCAACGGGUAAUACAACAACAUUAUUCGACAGUCAAAUAAAGCUACCUUCAAAAUAGACAACAAGAGUUUAGUCAUUAAAAAAAACACUCAAGACGAUAAAUAUAAAUUAAAUCUAAAGACGUCGGGGAAUAUUAAAUACUCCAUUUAGGAGUUUAGGCUCCUAAUUUGUGGACUCCGAGGCUCUGCACUUCUAGUAGCGUUUGGCCCGACGCUUGGGUCAAAGAAGAGUUCCGUUACGGAACUCUUAACUCCCGAGUUCACAUGUAAAAUAAAGAGAACAAGGAUUGGUAUCAAGAAAUGAACACACACAAAUACAUUCUCAUCGAAAUGGCGAAAUUAAACUUCAAUAUAGAGCAUAGAGAGAGUAUGACAAAUUCAGACAACGAUUUGCUAUCUGGCUUAAUUAUAACUAGUAGUCCUUAAAGAAACAAGAAAAUUAAGAGACUUGGUUAAUUACUUAACAGAGCACACUCACAUCUGAUUAUAGAAAAGACACACCUAAUGGUGUGUUUAAAUAAUUGACAUAAAUUCUAGCAAAUGAUGGUAGGGAGAGCCCGACAUUAUUUGCAAAUAUCAUUAGAAAUUUUGAAGCAUAGACUUUAGUUCAAAGAGAACUGAAUUUUCCAUAGAACAUCCGAACACGUAUAUUAUCAGACUAAAGUUAAGUACCUUUCGGAAAGCAUAAGGUCGACACAUAAUUUUGAUCACUUCCUAGACUUUUGUUUUAAUAGGAUAGUAGGAUUUCAACACACAUUGUCAACUUUUUUUAGAUUAUUUCAGAACUAAACAAUCUGGUCAAACAGAAAAUGAGAUGAACGAAGGAUGCUUAUGAAUCAAAAAUCCAUAAGGAAGCAAACUUUUAAAUUCUAAGAUUAAUUCUUUACCAAAAUGAACAAUCUUGAGGAAGCCUCAAACUAUGUCAGCCCAUGCUACCUGAAAAAUAAGCAAAUCAAAGGAACAAAUCUCGUACACAUCGCACAUUCGUGAAAAAAAAAAUACAACUCCCACAUAAAAUAUGACGAGACAAGUAGCGCAUAGCAAUAUGAUUUCAGGUGCUUCCCCCUAGGAUUGAAUUAACAACAACAACAAGAGGCUUUCUGAAAACUAUAAUAUAGUGGUACCAAUAGCCUUGAAUUCUAAUUGAGAGAAAAUCUAAUGUCAAGAUAAAAGCUAUGUUGAACCUCUUCUAGCCUUACCUUGUUGAGGCUAUUCACCCAAGUAAUUAAAGAAAGGAAGUAACUAAAGAUUUUCAAGGGUGCAACAAUAUCACUUUGAAAAGAGCAGAGGUAACGUUUAACACAUCAAACCUUCAAACUGGAAAAGGAGCAAUCAUGUUUGUGUUUUAUUGGCAUGUUCAAAUAAACAAAAGUUGCACGGUUUAAAAGUUUCGCAAAAAGAUAGUCGUGAUUAGACUCAAAACAAGUCAUUCAUGGGCCCGUUUCAAGCUCUCUUACCCCGUUUACUUAGUCAUUUUAACUCGGACAAACAUAUGGAAAAUGAUGAAAAAGAUUUUUGGCUAUUCAAAAUUUCCAAAUGAAUAAUUUCAACCUGUUAAGCACAACAUUAGAAUCUGAAAUAGCGCCAAUAUUUAGGCGUUGGUACGCGCUUAACCACAGACAUAGCUACUAAGACUAGCUAAAACAACCUUAUCAGUGAAUUCUCAAACCUCUCUAAUUAUUCCCUAAUACUCAAGUUAACAAAAACAAAAAAGAACAGAGAAUCUCAAUGUACAGUGAAAUGCUUUUAUUUCAAAACUUAAGGCUUGCGCAACUUGUUUCGUACUAAACCAAAUGUUAAUCACAUUUAACCAAACCGUGAUCCUAAAAGCCGUGCAAACAUGAUUUCAUAUUCAAGUACUCAAGCAGAAGAUGGCACAAAAAAUCUGUAUCACAUAGAAAGAACUUUUUACAUCUGAACUUUGACGAAUAAUUUUUUCUUGGAAAAUCAGCACGCUGCGUUACUUCUCAGGAAAUGGAAGAGCAAUCUGGGAACCUGGAUGGUGUAGUUUCUAAAGUUGGUGCUUACUUAAGGGAGUUGAGGAUUCUUUCCAACAAAAUUAAACAUAUCUGGCAAUGAGAUAAUGAAAAUACAGACAAUGUACUAGCUAAUACUAAGAACAAAUCUUAAUUUAUACUAGUUAUUAAAACACGAGCAACACACGUCAAACACAAUAAACAGAGCAUUUUAUAUUCUCCUCAUACGGACCUGAAUUCUUUUCCAUAAGUGGUGCAGCACCCUAAGAUAUUUUACUUAUUGAUUUUAGCAAAAACAAUAGCAUGAUAUGUCAAAGCAAGAUUUAAGAGAACGAUUAAGUUACUUUGAUGGACAAUAACUUCUUUUUGACACCCAAGACUAAUCAAAAACUUAACUCUUUACAUAAUUAUAGCGACCCCUCAUCACUGGGCACGAAACGCGUAUAACACCUAGCAUGAUGUUAGAAAGACUCCCAUUAAAACAAUCUCGACAUCAGUCGUACUAACAAAAACUCAAGUGUAUAGAGUUUAAUCAAGUUAAAUUGUGUGUCGUGAACACUCCUAUAAACACAUAAUAUCAAAAGCUCGGAAAACGACCUUUUGUUUCAUGUUUUCAUGACCAAGAUCAACAAGUUAACAUCCCGACUAGCAAGCGAUAACAACAAAUAAUUUUAAUUCAUGUUUGCAUUCACCAUUUGUUGACAGUAACAAUGGAGAUGUUCAUCGCAGUAACAAAGAACGAGACAAUGAGAAGUUCAUCUCACACAAGGAAAUGGAGCAGGCCAAAGCAAAUGGGCCCAUAUUAGACCAGUCAUCAGUACCAACAACCCACAAGUCCAAAUAUUUAACUUAGACUAGAAAGUUCUUUCAUUGUUUAGCUUAGAAGAGAAGAUUCUUUAGCUUAUAUAAAUAAACAUGAUUGGCAAGAAAUAUACAGACAAGAAAAAUUCCCAAAUACUGUCUCUUAUUCUCUACAUGGUAUCAAAGCUUCUUUGAAGAUCCUCUCUUCGAAGCCUUCUUUUACCUACCAUGGCAAACACAAGUUCUGAGUCACCUUCUGCCCCUGUUGCAUCCAAAGUAUUGGACCAAAGCAGCCCUUAUUUCCUUGAUCCAUCUGAUUCACCAGGGAUGUCUUUGGUGAACUCUAUUUUUGAAUGAAUGGGUUAUGGGGAUGGAGAAGAUCCAUUCUCAUUGCUCUCUCAGCUAAAAAUAAGCUGGGAUUUAUUGAUGGAAGCUGCAAGGCUCCAGCCCUUAACAAUCCAGAUCUGCAAUCAUGGAUCCGGUGCAAUGACAUGGUUACCAGUUGGUUGCUGAAUUCACUUUCUAGAGACAUUGCUGACAGUGUGCUCUAUUCCAAAAUAGCAGAAGCACUAUGGAGGGAUCCUGAGGACAGAUUUGGCCAGGGGCCAAAUUGUAUCAACUGCAAAAGGAAAUGAGUGAGCUGUCCCAGGGAACACAUGAUAUUGCAGCAUACUACACAAAAGUCAAAGGGUCAUGGGAUGAGUUAGAUACCUUGAACACUAAAAACACCUGCUCUUGUGAGUGUGAUUGUGGUGGUAAGAUGACAAUGAGUAAAGCAAAACAAGAUAAGAGACUCAUACAAUUCCUUUGGGAUUGAAUGAAGCUUAUGGGGCUGUGAGGUGCAACAUCUUAAUUUCUCCUCUAACUUCUGUGAGUCUUGCUUACUCUCUUCUCAUGCAGGAUGAAAAACAAAGGGAGAUUACUGUCUACUCUAGCCCUGCGGGGGAUCACUCUUCAUAUUUGGUUGCUGACAGAAAUCCACCUCCUCGGUACUCUCAAAAUAAUCUGAGGAAUCAUACUCCUGAAUAUAGAUCCAAGAAGAUUGACACAUCUUUGACAUGUUCUCACUACAAGAAGGUUUGACACACAGUUGAUAAAUGCUACAGGAUCAUUGGCUUUCCUAAUGAUUUCAAGUUCACCAAAAACAAAAGGAUGCAAAACACUGUGAGGAGCAAUGUUGUUAUUCCCUCUGAUUUACCUAGUUAUUCUAGUUCUUUACCUAAUUGUGCAAAUCAAGUUGGAAGCUAGUUCACCAGUGAGCAACUUUCUCAAUUGGUUAAUAUAUUAAAUCAGGCAAAGAUCUCUCAACCAGAUGUUUCACUUGCUAAUUCUGCAGCUACAGCUGCUUGUGCUGGUAAUGGUUCAGUUUCCUGUUUACUACUCCUAAAUUCUAACCCCUGGAUUUUAGACUCAGAGGCGAGUCAGCAUAUAUGUUUUGAUGCAACAAACUUCACUACUCUCACACCCCUUAAUCAAAUCAUCAACAUCACUUUACCUAAUUCUUUUAGGGUAAAAGUAACUCAUUCAGGAACUAUUACUCUAUUUCCUGAUCUCAUUAUUCACAAUGUGCUUUUUGUGCCUACAUUCAAGCUCAAUCUCCUAUCAGUGCACAAGUUAUGCACACAAUUAGAUUGUCUAAUCAUGUUUUCUUCUACCAAAUGUGUCUUGUAGGCCCCUUCAGUAAAGAGGCCUCUGGUUCUUGGUGAAGCACAGAAUGAACUCUAUUAUUUUUUUCCUUCGAAUCUCCCGUCUAAGAGCCCUGUCAAGGAAGAUGUAGUUUCCUUUUCUAGUUCCAGUUUUUCCAUUUGUAGUUCCUUAUCUAAUUCAGUUUCAAGUAGUAAUAGUUCUGAUUUUCAUCUAUGGCAUGUAAGACUAGGGUAUUUGCCCAUUUCAUCAAUGAACAAGCUAUGUUCUUUUAAUUUCAAACGUGAUUCCAAUUUCAUUUGUGAUGUUUGUUAUCUUGCCAUGCAAACUAAAUUGCCCUUUCCACUUAGUCACAUUAAAACCAAAUCGCAUUUUGAAUUAAUUCACAUUGAGACAUGGGGUCCUUAUAAAAAUUCAACCUACAAUGGUUACAGAUACUUCCUCACCAUAGUAGAUGAUUUUAGCAGAACUACUUGCGUUAUCAGUCAUAACUUUCACCACAUUUUCCUUCCCAAUUUUCAAGAUUGUCCUCUCAAAUAACUUGAACAUUUUAGUAGCAUCAAUAGAAGAGUCACUAGCAUCACGAGAUUCAAGUAACUCAUUCCCCAUCGGUUGAUGAUUCAGGUAACACAUUCCCCAUCAGAGAAUUCACCAAAACGUUGAUCACCAUUUUCCUACUUUUGGCUGUCCAUUAUCCAUCAUAAUCGAACAUCCAUAGGGUUUCCUUUGAACCUUAUGAUCCUCAACAAUCUUGUUUGUUUCUCCACCUCUUUUGUUAGACAUGAACGCUUCAUGAUAGGUUGGAGCUUCAUUCCUAGGCCAUAUUGGCCUACUGCCCCAAUAAAUUCACGAAAGCUGUCAGUAUAAUUAACACAAUUAAUAAGGAACCCCGCGUCACACAUCCACCAUGCAAAAGCGGAUACAACACUGCCCCUUAAAAUUUUACCUUGAGGAUUCUAAAUCAAUGGGUCUACCUUAUUUUUUCAUUGGAUUGUUAUGAGUAAAAGAGAUUGAUAAGACCUUUAAUAUUGCUAGCGGUCGAUGAUCUACUCUCGCUAACUGAAGACUUCCAUUGGGAUUUUAAAGGAGGCCCCAUUGGCAUAUUAAGUUCAACUUCAUCAUCCUCCAUUUGAUCGUCAUCAACAAGAUUGACCAUUGAUUCCUCAUGCCUCAUUGAGUUUUAAACUCUUUUUUCCCGUAAAGUACUCCUUGAUUCUUCGCUAACAAAAUUCGAGACUUUUGGACAAACAACAUCUUUAUAACCACCAAUAAGAUGUUUCUUAUGAUGAAAUAUUCCAUCGUUGUGCAUCAUAUCGCCAAAAACACAUUUUAUUUUUGUGUUACUGGCAAUUGCAGUUCCAUACACCCAAGCUGGAUCUUUUUUUUUUUUACCAUUGAAUAAAGAAAUAUAAUUUACUAAAAGAGAAAAAAAAUAGUGAAAACAUAGAGUGAUAGGCAGAUCACAGAUAGCAAAAAAAACAUUUAAAAAAAAUGAGGGAAGAGAAAAAAUGGAGUAUUUCAGCCUUAUACAGAUCAGAAAAAAACAGAGUACUGAUAGACAGAUCACAGAUAGCAAAAAACAUUUAAAAAAACGAGGGAAGCAAAAAACGUAUUUCAGCCUUGUACAGGUCAGGGAAAAAACAGCCUUUUGGACCUUAAGUGUACGCGUUUUCCUCGCUGCAUCGCUUCAAGGCAAUAGAGCGAAACCCCUACGCUUUAAGUUCGCUACGUGGCUUAAAGCGAGAAGCGAGCGCUUUUCACAAUGCUGGUAGGAGAGUAAUAAUAACAAUAUUGAAAAGGAAACUACACGGUGUUCGGCCUACUAACCUUCUACUCUAAUCGUCAACCUCCAUAUCUUGAUUACCCUUUAUAUUAUUUGUCAUUACUCAUUUUACAUUUUGGAAGAAUUUGGGCAGCUUUGGAUCCACAUUUUUGUUUCCAACUGGAGCAUUUUUUAGAUCUUACAAAGUAUUCUCCCAUCAUUUCAAUUUAUGUGGCACUUUUUAUUUUUUGAGAGUCAAUUUGACUUAACUUUGAAGCUCAAUUAAAUUAGAUCAACAUCAUGUUUAAAUUAAAAUUUAAAUAAACAAUACAAAAAGUACUUUGUAUUUUAACUUUAACUUAGCGUUGAUAUUUUUUAAGUAUAAACUGUGUAUGAAGAACUAAAUUAAUUCUUGAGGUUCAUUUGAUGAAUUUAUUUUUUUCCCCCUUAAUCUCAUCUAAAACUAAGUUUAGGUCGCCAUAUUUAAUUAGAAUAAACUCUUGUAGCAUUAAAUAUCAUAAGGAGGAAAAAACUAAAUCAAUACAAAAACAAAAUACUAUUUUGAUUUAUAAAAGAAAUUAUAUAAUCACAAAUUCAUAAAAAUGCCAAUUUUUUUUGUUUAUGAUUUUCCCCGAGUUGUAAUUGUUUUACCUAAUUUAUAUCACAUUACUUUAUAGAAUGUUGGAUCACUUGUGUUUCUUUGGCAUUUGAUAUUCUCCUGCCAAACUUCCUUAUAAAUAAUUUCUAGUUUAAAAAUAAUCUAAGUAGGUGACUAAGAAACCUGAAUAAAUUAUAUAGACUUAUGUCACUUAUCCACAGUACAUAUGAUACAUAUUAUAUACGAAGGGGUAGGGCGACGGGGCCUGAUGAGAUCCCUGUGGAUUUUUGGAAGUUUGCUGGAGAGAAUGGUUUAAGGUGGUUGACUGAUUUGUUUAACGGCAUUUUCAAGUCGGCGAAAAUUCCCGACGCAUGGAGGUGGAGCACUAUGAUCCCUCUGUAUAAGAAUAAGGGUGACAUUCAGUGUUGCAACAAUUAUUGGGGUAUUAAGUUACUGAGUCACUAUGAAAAUUUGGGAGAGAGUGGUCAAGUUGAGGUUGAGGAGGAUAGUCUCUAUUUCGGAGAACCAGUUUGGAUUAUGCUCGGGCGCUCGACGACGAGGCAAUUCACCUGGUUCGGAGACUGGUGGAAUAGAACAGGGAAAGAAAGAAGAAUCUGCACAUGGUGUUUAUCGACUUGGAGAAGGCAUACGACAAAGUCUCUAGGGAAGUUCUUUGGAGAUGCUUGGAGGUGAGUGGGGUCCCGAUGGUGUAUAUCAGAGCAAUCAAAGACAUGUAUGAUGGAGCUAAGACCCAGGUGAGGACGGCGGGUCGUGAUUCUGAACAUUUCCCUAUCCUGACAGGGUUACAUCAGGGAUCUACUCUUAGCUCGUUUUUGUUUGCUUUGGUGAUGGAUGUGUUGACGCAGCAUAUUCAAGGCGAGGUGCCCUGGUGUGUGCUUUUUGCAGAUGAUGUGGUUUUGAUUGAUGAGACUCGGGGGNNNNNNNNNNNNNNNNNNNNNNNNNNNNNNNNNNNNNNNNNNNNNNNNNNNNNNNNNNNNNNNNNNNNNNNNNNNNNNNNNNNNNNNNNNNNNNNNNNNNNNNNNNNNNNNNNNNNNNNNNNNNNNNNNNNNNNNNNNNNNNNNNNNNNNNNNNNNNNNNNNNNNNNNNNNNNNNNNNNNNNNNNNNNNNNNNNNNNNNNNNNNNNNNNNNNNNNNNNNNNNNNNNNNNNNNNNNNNNNNNNNNNNNNNNNNNNNNNNNNNNNNNNNNNNNNNNNNNNNNNNNNNNNNNNNNNNNNNNNNNNNNNNNNNNNNNNNNNNNNNNNNNNNNNNNNNNNNNNNNNNNNNNNNNAGUGUUGGCCAGUCAAGAACUCUCACAUUCAGAAAUUGAAGGUGGCGGAAAUACGGAUGUUGCGUUGGAUAUGUGGGCUUACUAGGGGUGAUAGAGUUCGAAAUGAGACUAUCCGAGAAAAGGUUGGAGUGGCUUCGGUGGAGGACAAGAUGCGGGAGGUUCGUUUGAGAUGGUUCGAACACGUGAUGAGGAGGGGCAUGGAGUCACCUGUUCGUAGGUGUGAGAGGCUUGCUUUAGAUGGUUUCAGACGGGGUAGGGAUAGGCCGAAGAAGUACUGGAGAGAGGUGAUUAGGCAGGACAUGGAGCAAUUACGGCUUAUUGAGGACAUGACCCUAGAUAGGAAGAUCUGGAGGACGCGUAUUAGGAUGGAAGGCUAGUGCCAUUUUGGGUAGGUAGGGUAGGGCAUUACUUGGUGGGUGUAGCAUUCUUAUUAUGAUUUCUGGUUGCUUGUAGUAUUACGAUUGUUUACUAGUCUUUACUAGUCUUUGUUUACUAUGUUCCUGUAUGUGGCGUCUCUAUGUUUUGUCUUGUUCCAGGUUUUUUGGUAUGACUUUGAUUACUAUUCCUUGUCUUGAGCCGGGGGUCUAUCGGAAACAGCCUUGCUACUUCCUCGGGAGUAGUGGUAUGGACUGCGUACAUCUUACCCUCCCCAGACCUCACUAUGUGGGAAUACACUGGGUUUGUUGUUGUUGUUGUUGUUGUACUUGAACUUAUCUCUUGAGCACUAAGGCCAAUGCUUUUCCUAUGCUAAAACAGUUUCAAUCCAUGGUUCAAAGGCAGUUUAACAGUAAAGUGAAAAUCAUCAGGUCUGACAAUGCUUUAGAAUUGGGAAAAGGAACUGUUACCUCUGAAUUACUGCUUUCUCAAGGAAUUCUUCAUCAAACAUCAUGCAUUUCUACUCCUCAACAAAAUGGCAUAGUGGAGAGAAAGCACGGGCAUUUUUUAGAAACUUCUAGGGCUUUGUUGUUUCAGUCUAGCCUACCUAUUUCUUAUUGGGGUGAUUGUGUUCUUAUGUCUACUUUUUUAAUCAAUAGAUACCCCUCCAAAGUCCUAAAUGGUAAGACCCCUCAUGAAGUUUUGUUUGGUUAUCCUCCUAAAUAUCAAUUUCUCAAGGCUUUUGGUUGUCUCUGCUAUGCUUCUACUUUAACUCCAAAUAGAUCAAAAUUUUCACCUAGAGCUACUGCCUGUGUGUUUUUGGGAUAUCCACCAGGACAAAGUGGAUAUAAGUUAUUAUCCUUACAAGACAGAAAAUAUUUGUUUCAAGAGAUGUUCACUUCCAUAAAACAGUUUUUCCUUUCAGGAGGACUUCAGGCUAUGCUCUAAUUUUCUCUCAUUCACAUCCUACCUCUCCAGAUUCAUAUACCAUUCCUUCUGGCCCUAAUUUAACACCUAUCUCCACAACUACACAAGAUCCUUCAUCUCCUCCUCCUUCUACCUUUAAUUCUGAUCCUACCUCCUUUAUCCCUGACUCUAUUGUUUCUUUACCUCAACCUAAUACUCUUAAACCCAGAAGAUCAUCCAGAACCCAUAAACAACCUGCUUAUUUAGAUGACUAUUACUAUAACAAUGUGUUUCUCACUGAUCUUACCACUUCUUGCUUCACUUCACCUAUCAGUCCCCAGGUUUUUCCUUUCAUUGCACUUUCUUCUACAAAUCAACUUGUAGUGAAUUCUAUCUCUUCUGUCACUGAGCCCACUACCUAUGCACAAGUUGCAAUGCACCCAGGUUGGCAAGUAGCUAUGAAUGAUGAAAUUGAGGCCUUGAUAUCUAAUCAAACUAGGGAUAUUGUGGAGCUCCUUAAAGGCAAAAGGGCUCUACCCUGCAAAUGCGUGUACAAAGUGAAACAUAGGUCUGAUGGUAGUAUUGAUAGACUCAAAGCAAAACUCGUAGUUCGAGGUGACAUUCAAAGGGCUAGGAUUGACUUUACUGAAACAUUUUCACCAGUAGUCAAAAUGACAACUAUAAGGUGUCUCUUGGCUAUUGGUGCAAAAAGGAAAUGGCCUCUUUUUCAGCUAGAUGUCAGUAAUGCCUUUCUUCAUGGAGACCCUGAUGAAGAGGUCUACAUAAAGUUUCCAGCAGGCAUGGUUUGUCCUAAUCCUAAUCUUGUUUGUCGACUCAAGAAAUCACUCUACGGGUUAAGGCAAGCACCGCGACAAUGGUUUGCUAGACAAUCAGCAGUUCUUCAUUUCAAAGGUUUUCAAUCAUCACAUAAUGAUUACUCACUGUUUUACAAGAAAUUCGGCGAUCUUAUUACUAUCAUUGUUGUAUAUGUCGACGAUAUAAUCAUCACUGGAAGUGAUUUCUCUACUAUUACACGGUUGCAGGAAUUUCUCAAUGCAAAAUUUAAAAUAAAGGAUCUGGGACACUUACACUAUUUUUUGGGACUUUUAAGUUUUCAGAGAAGACAAUGGGUUGAUUGUUACUCAAAAGAUAAUUCACUCUUGAGCUGCUUGCUGAAUUUGAUUACGCUCAAUUGCCUCUAGUCUCUUCUCCAUUGGAUCCAUCAGUUAAGCUCUGAUCUAGCUCCGGAGAACUCCUUACUGACCCAACCAUUUAUCGUCGCCUAAUUGGAAAGCUCAACUACCUUACACAUACUCGCCCUGAUCUUUCUUAUGUUGUCCAACAUCUCUCCCAAUAUAUGCAACAACCCCGUCUUCCCCAUUUCAAUGCUGCUCUUCGAGUUGUUCGUUAUCUACAGUCCGACCCAGGUCAAGGUUUGUUCUUUACUAGUGACCCUUCAUUUUCCCUCCUUGGUUUUUGCAACGCCGAUUGGGGUUCUUGUAUAGAUUCUCGACGUUCAGUCAGCGGGUUCUACAUUACCCUUGGUGGAUCUCCCAUCUCUUGGAAGUCCAAGAAACAAGCAUCCAUUUCUUUAUCCUCUGUUGAGGCAGAAUAUCGCUCCAUGAGGCGUGUGGUUGCCGAACUCACCUGGCUGAAUCGACUCCUUCAUGAUUUAGGUGUCCCUCCAUCUUUUCCCAUUACUGUUCACUCCGACAGCCAAGCGGCAAUCCAUAUAGCCAAAAACCCUAUCUUCCACGAACACACCAAACACGUCGAACUUGACUAUCAUUUUGUUCGACAACAAUUUCUCACCGGAUUAAUCUCCCUUUCUUUGUUCCUGCCGCCUCUUAACUCGCUGACCUUCUCACCAAACCCUUGUCUGGGCCUUCACAUCACUCUUUAAUUGGCAAGUUGGGACUCGUUUCACUCCCCUCCAACUUGAGGGGGUGUUGACAGUAACAGUGGAGAUGUUCAUUGCAGUAACAAAGAACGAGACAAUGAGAAGUUCAUCUCACACAAGGAAAUGGAGCAGGCCAAAGCAAAUAAGGAAAUGGAGCAGGCCAAAGCAAAUAAAAGGAUUGGGCCCAUAUUAGACCAGUCAUUAGUACCAACAACCCACAAGUCCAAAUAUUUAGCUUAGACUAGAAAGUUCUUUUAUUUUAUUUUAGCUUAGAAGAGAAGUUUCUUCUUUUAUUUUUAUUUUCAUUGUUUAGCUUAGAAGAGAAGAUUCUUUAGCUUGUAUAAAUAAACAUGAUUGGCAAGAAAUAUACAGACAAAAAAAAUUCGCAAAUACUGUCUCUUAUUCUCUACACCAUUAUCAAAACAAAACAGCCAAUACCUUCUAAGACUCCAAAUUUUACAGACUACAUUCAAGCUAAGUCACAGGCUAGAAUUUUUAUGAAGACAUCAUAUAAUCCAAUAACCAGCCCCCUUUCAAGUUUUCGUUCACAAUUAGACAAAUCCGAAAGACAAACUUAAAUGAUCAGUGAACCACCAAAAUUAAAUAUAAAGUAAUUAGACGGGACAAAAUUUGCUCCAGUAAUAUCACCAGUUGCAAAUACACAUGAUCUUAAACUCAAAAAAAAUUGUUUUGUUUCACAUUCUUAUACUUUCAAACAAACAGCCAUCAUCCCGAUAAAUAAUUAACAAAAAUUAAGUACAACGUAAUUAAGACGGGGUAGUACCUUGUGCGGGGCAGCGAAACUGGAGCUUUGACGCUUAAGAAUUUCCGACGACAAAAUCGACUCUGAGGACUCCAAAUUUGGACUGGUAUCGAAAGAAAUCUAUCAAUUUUCGAGACCCCCCUUUUUCUCUGUUAUAACUUCUUUAUGUGCCCCUUUUUUUCCGACCUCCUCUACUCCCUUCAUGGGGAUGAGAAUCCGGCUAUUUAUAGCCAAAAUCCGGACUUCAAAGUUCGGAUUUGAGAUAAAGAAUAAGCAAAAAUGCGGGAGAUGAAAGAAACUUGAAAUUCAAAUCCAAAUUUCUGAAGCAGAUCACCGAUUUCAACCUUUUCAGGCCACUUGUGGUAGAUUUGAUGUCAAGGACGAGCUGUUACAUCGUUUUGGGUCCAAUUUUUCUGAGUUUAGCGGGUUUCACGGGACAAGAUGGGGCAGUCCGCGUAGAGGCACAGCUAUGGCUGCCUAUGGCUGCCAUUUUUGUCGAUGAAGAAAGGAAAAGAGGAGAGAAAGUCUUUGUAUUGUUGUUUUUUGUGAGACAGAGAAACGAGUUAGCGAUGGGGAAGGAGAAUGCGUGUAUUGGGAGUGUGAAAAGCCGAAUAAAGGGCUGAUUAUCUUGUCUAUAAUUUGAACCGUCCGAUCAAAAACAUCCCAAAAUAAUAAUAAUAAUAAUAUUUCUAUUUCUUUUCUAUUUUCUUUCUCUAUUAUAUAGAAGAGGUAGUUUCGAUCGC
rnacentral:lncRNA from 1 species